UACGUAGGGGGCGAGCGUUGUCCGGAUUUAUUGGGCGUAAAGAGCUCGUAGGCGGCUUGUCGCGUCGACUGUGAAAACCCGUGGCUCAACCAUGUGGUCUGCAGUCGAUACGGGCAGGCUAGAAUUCGGUAGGGGAGACUGGAAUUCCUGGUGUAGCGGUGAAAUGCGCAGAUAUCAGGAGGAACACCGGUGGCGAAGGCGGGUCUCUGGGCCGAUAUUGACGCUGAGGAGCGAAAGCGUGGGGAGCGAACAGG
rnacentral:rRNA from 1 species